AGUAUAAUUUUGAUUUCAAAGACCUUCAUAAUUGUGUGAAUAUCAAAUUUACUCAUGUACUGGAAAAAGUGCUAUGGAUAUAUGUACAUUAGGGCUGUGCGGUGCACCGAAAAUUCCAAUACAUUGAGUUUUAUACCAUUCGAUUCUAUGUACUGAUUACAAAUUCCGGAUUUCGGUUUGGUUUAGAUUUUGCAUGCACCAAAACAACAAGUAUGGCGGAUGUGCAGACGUGUAUUUUUAUACAACAGAGAAUCAAAUCAUGACUGUUGAGAUUUAACAUUUUCACCACUCAGAUACAUGUACCAACUGGGCAACAGAAUAUGAUCAGCCAGAUCAUUGCAGUGUAUCUUUACAUGAUUUAUGACUUUUCUGUCAGUGCUGGGGAUCGUAGAUGAUGACACAGAUUAAAUGAUUUGACAGUUGAUAUGAGAGAGAAAUUUGUAUGCAGCUUCCAAGUUUUCUGUACCUUUUCCAAAAACAUUCAUUACCCUUGACAUUUAGGAUGCUCACAUUCCUUCUAAAGCCUCAAUUUUCUCAAGAGGGCAGCAACAACAUUGAAGUUGAAAAGAAGGUCUACGCUGCAUUUGUUCGAUAUCUAAGAGAAGUCGCAAGUGGUCGGAGAGAACACUUGUCCUUAGCAAACGUACUACAGUUUGUGACAGGAGCUGAUGAGGAGCCACUACUGGGGUUCAAAAUCCCACCCACUAUCCAGUUUCCAGAAGUCAUGAACUCAUUCAUUCCAACUGCCAACACAUGCAUCAACUCUCUCCAGCUUCCAAGACCAAAACCAGACUUAAAUGUGAACUUUCCUUUAGAUGAAAAGCUAUUUGAAUUAUAUGAUUAUGCUUUCUUAAACCUCUUUUAUGGACUGCAUUAAGUUUUUAACAAAUUUUUAGUCAUUCUCUAUCACCCAAUCAAGUCUCAAUUUUUUUUAUAAGAAUAUGUAACACAAUUAUACAAGUAUCACCACAUACUUAUUACAAAAAAUUCUACAGUUUGUAUGUAGGGUCCAUGGGUACAGCUUUAGGGGAUUUGUUUCAUAAAACUUGCUGAAUUUAAAAGAAAUUUGUUAUAUCAAUAUAAAAUAAUCUUCAUAUAUAGUGAAGAACUAGUAAAGUGCACUGGUCUGGGUCAGGACAGGACUAUUUUUAGUGCAAAGUUUGAUGUAAAUUUACACAAUGUAUCUUAAAAGAUCUUCCUUCAAAAUGUGUAGUAAGAACCUGACCAAUUGAUAUGAAAGCAUUCUUGUAUAAUAAUGCACAUUCAAGUUAGUUCAAAUAUUGGUACCAGGGGAGUUGAUGAGGCCACAAUAGAAUUUCAAAUUUAAAUGUAUAGAAUACCAAAGUUGGCACAAAGCAUCCUUAGGUAAAGGGAAUUCUAAAUUGUUAAAAUAAAGGCCACCUUCCAAGGGGAGAUAAGAAAAGGUAAAAAUAGAGUAGGGUCAUUAAAAAAUCUUCUCAAGAACCACUGGGCCAGAAAAGAUGAAAUUUAUAGAUGAGCUUUAUUAGGUAGUGCAGAUUCUAAAUUGAUAAAAUCAUAGCCCCCGGGGGUUGGAUGGGGCCACAAUAGGGGAUCAAAUUUUUACAUACAAAUAUAUAGGGAAAAUCUUUAAAAAUCUUCUUCUCAAGAACCACUGAGCCAGAAAAGCUGAUUUUUACAUGAAAGCUUUCUGACAUAGUGCAGAUUCAAGUUUUUCAAAUCAUGGCCCCCGGGGGUAGGAUCGGGCCACAAGGGAGGAUCAAAGUUUUACAUAGAAAUAUAUAGGAAAAAUCGUUAAAAAUCUUCUCAAGAACCAUUGGGCCAAAGAAGUUGACAUUUACAUGGAAGCUUUGUGAUAUAGUGUAGAUUCAAGUUUGCAAAAAUCAUGGCCUCCAGGGGUAGGUUGGAGCCAUAAUGGGGACUAAGGUUUUACAUGCACAUAUAUAUGGAAAGUCUUCAGGUAUGGGUCAAGGUGAUUCAGGUGAGCAAUGUGGCCCAUGGGCCUCUUGUUAACUCAUCUGAGUCGAAGGCUCGAGUGAGCUUUUCUGAUCAAAAUUUGUCAGUUGUCUGUCAACGUCGUCGUAAACUUUUCACAUUUUCCUCUUCUCCUGCAGAACUAUUGGGCUAAUUUCAACCAAACUUGGCACAAAGCACCAUUUGGUAAAGGGGAUUCAAUUUUGUUCAAAUGAAGGGCCAUGCCUCUCUCAAAGGGGAGAUAAUCACAAAAAUGCAAAAAUAGGGUGGGGUCAUUUAAAAAUAGUCUUCUCAAGAACCACUGGCAGGGCAAAAACUGUCCAAAAUCAAUUAAUUUUCAAAAAUCCUUUCUUUACAACUACACAUCUACAUGUAUAUGAAAAGCAGGAACGCCUCCACCAAAAUUAUAAAUUCAUAAUACCCUGGAUAGUAGUUUUUGACUCAAUUUAUUAUCAAUAGCAAUAAAGAUGAUGUUAUUUAAAUGUUUUACACAAAUUUCAUAAUCACAGGGGUAGGGAUUUUGGUUUGAGGGUGGGACCAACAUUAUCAUAAUGAUUAUUGUCUUUACUUCUUAAAUUUUACUGAAACUGUAUAAAAACUAAAUGUAUAAUAAAAAACAGCAGAAAAGUACGCACUAAUUUUGAAUUUCAGAACAAGGGUUGUGACUCGAGGGCUGGUCCAAAAUAGCCGUAUAGUGGGUUGGUAACAAGCCAUCCGAUGCGAUUUUGUAACAAUUUAAUCCGUCAUGUUAUAAUGGGGAAUCGCCCCAUAUGGGUGUACUUCUGUUUUGGGCAGUAUGUGGUUGUCUAUAUUGUAGCAGGUCGAAGAUUGUUUUUCCUUUACAUUUAACAUGUGUAUUAUUGUCAAUGCCACAUGUAAUUGAAAUCCAUUACUUUAUGAUUUUUUGUAUUCUACAUCUUGCCAUAAGUUACAGGUAUAACUCUGUCUCAAAGUCCUUCUAGUCAAAAGUCUGGUCAUUUUGUACUUGUAACAUUUUUGCUCUUGGUGUGAAUUACCAUAUAUGUCUUCUUCAUUAUUUAAUGAUUCUGUGUAUAUAUGUUUACAUUUUGUCAUUUAUUGAAUUAAUAAAUGACAGUUUUAAUCACCUUCAUCUGGUGUUCACGUAUGUUGACAUAAAUCAUAUAAUAUGUAGUUUUUCAGUAGUAUGGGCAGUUUUGGGGUAAUUUAUGUUUGCAGAGCACAUCUUGUUUAAUCCUGUUGCCGAAUAUUAGAAUUUAGCUUUGAUAUGCUGAACAAAAAUUCCUCUAGAUUUCAUGGCCCUUGGGACUAAUGAUUCUUUUAACUGAUCCUCGGGUGAUCGAUAAGACCUUUGGGCCUCUUGUUUUAUGCUCGUCUUUAAAUCAGACAUAUUAAGGUACUGUAAUGUCUUUGUCUGCAUGUUUGUCCCCCCAACUCCAACCUAAGUUUUCAUGUUACAAAGUUCUUGUAUAUGUUACAGAAUGUUUGUAUGAGUAUUGAAGAUUUGAAUUACAUUAAGACUAGGAAUUGUUUUGGCUCAAGUGAGCUUUUCUCUUCAAAAUUUGUCCGUUGUCUGGCAUCGGCGUAAACUUUUCACAUUUUCAUUUUCUUCUCCAGAACCACAGGGGCAAUUUCAACCAAACUUGUCACAAAGCAUCCUUGGGUGAAGGGCUUUCAAGUUUGUUCAAAUGAAGGGCCAUGCCUCCUUCAAAGGGGAGAUAAUCACAAAAAUAGGGUGGGGUCAUUUAAAAACUUCUUCUCAAGAACCACUGGGCUGAAAUUGACAUGAAAGCUUCCUGACAUAAUGUAGAUUCAGUUUGUUCAAAUCAUGGCCCCUUGGAGUAGGUUGUGACCACAAUAAGGGAUCAAAGUUUUACAUGGGAAUAAAUAGGGAAAAUUAAAAAUUCUUCUCAAGAACCACUGGGCCAGAAUAGCCGAGAUUUACAUGAAAGCUUCCUGACAUAGUGCAGAUUCACGUUUGUAAAAAUCAUGGUCCCUGGUGGUAUAUUGGGGCCAUAAUAGGGACCAAAGUUUUAAAUGCAAAUAUAUAUGGAAAAUCUUUAGAUAUGGGCCAAGGUGACUGGUGAGCGAUGUGGCCCAUGGCCUCUUGUUUAAUUUGUGAGAAAAAUUGCAGGGUUUUGAAUUACGUAGUUUGCCUGUUUAACUCCUCCUAAAAUGAGUAAGUUAAAAAAAAUCAUACAAAUUUAAUGUAUUGGUAUUAAAGAGCAGCAAAUUGCAAGAGUUUUCAUUUUCCCCAUUUUGAGAAAAUAACUGCUUGCUAAACUUCGUCAUUUUAGAUGAAAUAUUACUUAAGGAGACAAGUGUUUUUUUGUUUUUGCUUCAAAUAUGUUGUGAAGUAUCACUUUUUUAUGCACCUUGUACAUGUAAAGACCAUCACAUGGUUGUGCAAGUCAGCUUUCAGCAACAGGCUUCAUUUUGAUGCAGGAUAUAUUUUUUGUCCAUUCAUAAUAAAUUUUCAUAUUCAUGUAUAUUUCGGACCUGUUUCAUACUGGGUUUUUUAAGAGCAAUAUGGUCAUUUGGUCUCUUCUUUAUUUGUACAUUUAUAAUUGAUAGGAAGCACAAGUAUUUAAGUUAUUAGUGUUUAUGAUUUUUUUAUAUUAACUAAAAAAAACCUUGUCAUAAUUGGGGGGGGGGGGGGGGGGGGGGGGGGGGGGGGGGGGUAAAUAACUUACUGACAAUUAAUUGAACUUUCUAAUGCCAAUACAUGUACUUUGUAUGAAGUGAAUGAUUAUAAAUUUUAUUUAUGAGGAUACCAUCCUAUGGGAGGAAUAAAAAUGUUUCAUCUACACACAUUGAUAGAAAUUGCAGCAAUGUAUCAACAAGCCAAAAGUAGAUGAAACUCAUUUGAGUUGAUCAUUAGGUUUUGUUUGAAUAGAAAACUCUGUGUAAGCUACACUAUUGAUUUGUUACAACAUUAAAUAUAAUUCUAAAA